rnacentral:rRNA from 1 species
CUACGGGGCGCACCAGUGGGGAAUAUUGGACAAUGGGGGAAACCCUGAUCCAGCAAUGCCGCGUGUGUGAAGAAGGCCUGCGGGUUGUAAAGCACUUUCGGUUGGGAGGACUGCUUCUAGCACUAAUAUUGUUGGAAGUUGACGUUACCUUCAGAAGAAGCACCGGCUAACUCCGUGCCAGCAGCCGCGGUAGUAGGGAGGGUGCAAGCGUUAAUCGGAAUUACUGGGCGUAAAGCGCGCGUAGGCGGCUAGAUCAGUCGGGUGUGAAAGCCCCGGGCUUAACCUGGGAACUGCAUCCGAUACUGUCUAGCUUGAGUACAGGAGAGGAGAGUGGAAUUCCACAUGUAGCGGUGAAAUGCGUAGAUAUGUGGAGGAACACCAAUGGCGAAGGCAGCUCUCUGGCCUGAUACUGACGCUGAGGUGCGAAAGCGUGGGGAGCAAACAGGAUUAGAUACCCGGGUAGUC